CUCCCUGUCUUUCUCUCUUGCCCCCGCCUUGCUUUUCUCCUUGAUGUCAUAUUAUCAUCAUCAUGCAUUCAUUGAACUUGUUUGUUGUUAAAGAUGUAGUUGUAAAAGGGUUAGUUCUUGUAGCUCAACAAGUAGAGCAUAACUCCAACAAUGCCUUGGUCAUGGGUUCAGUUACCAGGGGAUGCAUGAACUGAAAAGAUGGAUGCUUUGAAUACAAUAAUGGAAGUCAAUGUUACCAACAUUCAUCAAUGUCUUCUUUUAUCUUCUGCAGAAGAAAGCAAGCUAUAAAGAGCCGAAUCAUCUGCAUAAGAGAGGAAGGAUUACAGACAAACGGCACUCAACCGUGACAGGAUAAGGAGAAAGGAGGUAUCAGACUAUUAAGCCACAGAUACACACACACACAUACACAGAAGUCCAAAUAUAAUCUGACUCACUUAGAGAUUCUUUAUUGCUGCAGUGUCUUUGUCCUUCAAAUUUGAUCUUUCCUUGU